GCGCAAAUGGUUUAGUGGUAAAAUCCAUCGUUGCCAUUGUUCGUCUGCAUAUAUACAGGCUUCCCAAUGAUCCUCGAUGGGCCCCCGGUUCGAUUCCGGGUUUGCGCA